rnacentral:rRNA from 1 species
CCUACGGGGGGCAGCAGUAGGGAAUCUUCCACAAUGGGCGCAAGCCUGAUGGAGCAACACCGCGUGAGUGAAGAAGGGUUUCGGCUCGUAAAGCUCUGUUGUUGGAGAAGAACGUUCGUGAGAGUAACUGUUCACGCAGUGACGGUAUCCAACCAGAAAGUCACGGCUAACUACGUGCCAGCAGCCACUGUAAUACGUAGGUGGCAAGCGUGAUCCUGAUUUAUUUGGCGUAAAGGGAGCCCAGGCGGUUGCUUAGAUAUGAUGUGAAAGCCUUCGGCUUAACCGAAGAAGUGCAUCGGAAACCGGGCGACGUGAGUGCAGACGAGGACAGUGGAACUACAUGUGUAGCGGUGGAAGGCGUAGAUAUAUGGAAGAACACCAGUGGCGAAGGCGGCUGUCUGGUCUGCAACUGACGCUGAGGCUCGAAAGCAUGGGUAGCGAACAGGAUUAGAUACCCUGGUAGUC